UUAGAAAUCAAACCCACUCCAAGCAUAAUCUAGAAGCAUGAGACGUGGAGCAAUUUUGUGCCAUGCAAAGUGCUGAAAUUUUAGCCAUACAAAGUGUUCCAUUAUUGAGAUGUUUUGUGGCUGGAAAUUAAGUGGAUUAAUAGCCACAUUUGUUGUCACUUUAUCAGCCUAUAAAUAGAGGCUUGAACUUGUGUUGUAAUGAAGUAAAAAUGAGAAGAAAAAAGAAAUAAGAGAAGCAACGUGAGUGAGAGUGAGAAGGUUAGCAAACCUUGAGUGAGUUAAAAUCUAGCAGCAGCUAGACUAUCUAGUCAUUGAGAAAAUAUUUGUAAUCUUCGUAUUGUAAUAUAUUGAGUGUGUAAUAAAAAGUAAAUUUUCGGCCCAUCACGUUUCCAACAAGUGGCAUCAGAGCUACGGUUCGGAGCUUGGUUCGGAGUUCGGUUCGUGUCCGGUUCGUGUCCAGUUCGGAGUACCUUUGGUGUUCAUCUAACAAGUCGAUAUGGGCGACGUAAUUCAGCUACAAGUUCCACAAUUGACGAAGACAAAUUAUGGAAAUUGGAGCAUUCGAAUGAAGGCUUUGCUCGGUUCGCAAGAUUGUUGGGAGAUCGUUGAAAAAGGAUACAUCGAGCCCGGAGAUGCCGCUACAGAAGCAGCUUUAUCAAAUGACGCUAAGAAGGCGUUACGAGAAGCACGAAAGAAGGAUCAAAAGGCCUUGAAUAGUAUCUUUCAAGGUAUGGAUGAAUCAACCUUCGAGAAAAUAUCAGAUGUGAAGAACGCGAAGAAUGCAUGGGAGAUUUUGCAAAAAUCAUUUCAAGGUGUAGAAAAAGCUAAAAAGGUACGCCUUCAGUCACUUAGAGCUGAAUUUGAAAUGUUAAAAAUGAAGAGCUCCGAGAAUAUCGAUGACUAUGCCAAUCGUGUAAAAUCGAUGGUAAAUGAAAUGAAACGAAAUGGAGAAACUCUUGACGAGGUAAGAGUGAUGGAGAAAAUUCUACGGUCACUCACACGCAAAUUCGAGUACGUAGUCGUUGCCAUCGAAGAAUCAAAAGAUUUGUCAAAGAUGUCGCUCGAAGAACUUGUGGGUUCUCUGCAAGCCCAUGAGCAAAAGAUGAAGCUAAAUGAAGAUAGUGAAAAUCUUGAUCAAGCCUUGCAUAGCAAGUUGUCCGUCGACGACGGAGAAACAAGUAAUAACUUUAACCAAGGAAGAGGAAACCGCAGAGGAUACCGUGGAGGCUACCGUGGUGGAAACAGAGGAGGAAGAGGAUCACGAGGACGUGGAAAUCAAUCAUAUGGGAGAUAUCAAGAAAAUAAAGAUUAUCAAACAUCCAACCGUGGACGUGGAUCUAGAGGUCGUGGCCGAGGCAGAUUUCAAGAAAAUAAAUCUCAGGUACAAUGCUACAACUGUAACAAGUAUGGACAUUUCAGUUACGAGUGCAGAUCAACACACAAAGUGGAUGAAAGAAACCAUGUAGCAGUCGCAGCAGAAGGCAACGAAAAAGUGGAAUCAAGUGUCUUUCUCACUUACGGAGAAAAUGAAGAUCGCAAGAGAAGUGUGUGGUAUCUCGACAACGGUGCAAGCAACCACAUGUGUGGAAGAAAGGAGCUGUUCACAGAAUUAGAUGAAACAGUUCAUGGACAAAUAACUUUUGGAGACAACUCACAUGCAGAAAUCAAAGGAAAGGACAAGGUUGUUAUAACACAAAGGAAUGAAGAGAAGAAGUACAUCUCAGACGUUUACUACGUACCAGCUUUGAAGAGCAACCUGAUCAGUCUUGGUCAACUCCUAGAAAAAGGAUAUGAAGUUCAUAUGAAAGACCGCUCACUCGCCAUCAGGAACAAAAGUGGAGAAUUAGUUGUUCGAGUUGAUAUGACGCGAAAUCGUCUUUUCACCCUCGACAUCGAGUCUGGAGAAGUAAAAUGCAUGAAGACGGAUCUGAAGAAUGAAUCAUGGUUGUGGCACUUAAGGUACGGACAUCUCGGAUUUUCUGGCUUGAAGCUGUUGUCGAAGACAAAUAUGGUGAAUGGAUUACCAAGUAUUAAUCAUCCAGAUAAACUGUGUGAAGCCUGUGUCAAAGGAAAGCAGCAUAGGCAGAAAUUUGAAGUAGGAAAAUCUCGAAGAGCUAGAAGACCAUUGGAAAUUGUACACACCGACAUAUCUGGUCCGUACGACAUUGAAUCACUCGGUGGAAACAGGUACUACCUAACUUUUAUUGAUGAUUAUAGCAGAAAAUGUUGGGUUUAUUUUCUCAAAGCAAAAUCGGAAGCCCUAGAAAAAUUCAAGGAGUUCAAAGCAAUGGUGGAAAAACAGAGUGGUCGAUAUUUGAAGAUACUCAGAUCCGAUAGAGGAGGCGAGUAUACUGCAAAGCUUUAUGAAAGUUUCUGCAAGGAUCAUGGAAUCAUUCAUCAGUUAACAGCCAGACGCACUCCACAACAAAACGGAGUUGCAGAAAGGAAGAAUCGGACAAUUCUGGAUAUGGCAAGAAGCAUGAUAAAAGGUAAACACCUUCCGAGAACUUUCUGGGCUGAAGCCGUUGAAUGCGCAGUUUAUCUGUUGAAUCAAUGUCCAACAAAAAGUGUAAGACACAAGACACCAGAAGAAGCAUGGAGCGAUCACAAGCCAAGAGUUGGACACCUCAAAAUUUUUGGAUGCAUUGCAUAUGCACACGUUCCUGAGCAACAGAGGAAAAAGCUUGACGAUAGAGGAGAGAAGUGUAUCUUUAUAGGCUAUGACAAAAGAAGUAAGGCCUACAGACUUUAUAAUCCUCUUACUAAGAAAUUGAUUAUCUCAAGAGAUGUCGAGUUCGAUGAAGCGGAUUACUGGAGAUGGAGUGAAGAAGAAAAGAAAGUGGAAGGAUUAUUUUUCAAAGACGAUAAUGAUGUCAUCAACCAAGAAGAACAAGGCGAUGAUCAAAGUCCUGGUACAACAGCCCCUUCGUCACCAACCAGCAGCAGCGGAAGCAGCAGCUCAGAUGAAGCACCCACAAGAACACGGAGUCUCAACGACAUCUACAAUUCUACGGAACCUGUAGAGACGCAGUUCGAUUAUUCACUAUUCUGUCUAAUGACAGAAUGUGAUCCAGUGACAUACGAAGAAGCAAUUGAAGACAAUAAAUGGAAGAAGGCCAUGGACGAGGAGAUUGCUGCAAUAAGAAGGAAUGACACGUGGGAGCUAACAAGUCUGCCAGAAGGACAUAGCCCGAUUGGUGUCAAGUGGGUGUACAAGACGAAGACCAACAAAGAAGGAAAAGUAGAGAAAUACAAGGCAAGACUAGUCGCCAAAGGCUACAAGCAAAGACAAGGAGUGGACUAUGAUGAAAUAUUUGCUCCAGUCGCAAGAAUAGACACAAUUAGGCUUCUCAUAGCGGUCGCAGCACAAUACAAAUGGAAAAUCUAUCAGAUGGACGUCAAGUCUGCAUUCCUGAAUGGCUACUUGGAGGAGGAAGUCUACAUAGAACAACCACCUGGAUAUAGCAUACAAGGAAAGGAGGACAAAGUCUACCGAUUGAAGAAAGCUUUGUAUGGAUUGAAGCAAGCCCCAAGAGCAUGGAACACAAGGAUCGACGAGUACUUCCGAAGAAAUGGAUUCAUCAAAAGCCCGCACGAGCACACCCUGUACACAAAGAAGAAUGGAUAUAGAGAUAUCAUGAUCGUAUGCCUAUAUGUGGAUGACAUGAUCUUCACCGGAAACAAUCCAGGUAUGUCUAAUGAUUUCAAGAAAGCUAUGACUAAAGAAUUUGAAAUGACAGAUAUCGGUGAGAUGUCAUACUUUCUUGGAGUCGAGGUGAAACAAAUGCAAGAUGGAAUUUUUGUCUCUCAAAAGAAGUAUGCGGAGCAGAUUUUGAACAAGUUCAAAAUGAAGGAUUGCAAGCCAGUAGUCACGCCAGCUGAUCCAGGGAUGAAGCUAAGUGUUGAUUCGACAAGGGAGUCGAUAAAUCCGACGUUGUUUAAAAGUCUCGUUGGAAGUUUAAGGUAUUUGACAAUCACACGACCAGAUAUUACAUAUGCAGUAGGAUUGGUGAGCAGAUUCAUGGAGAAGCCGAAGCAAGACCACUUAAUUGCCGCAAAAAGAAUUUUGAGAUAUAUCAAAGGUACGAUGAACCAUGGUUUAUUCUAUACCCACUCACAAGAUUCAAAAUUAGUUGGCUACUCAGAUAGCGAUUAUGGGGGAGACUUGGAUGAUCGGAAAAGCACUUCCGGAUAUGCAUUCCACAUCAGUUCCGCAGUUUUUUCAUGGUCGUCAAAGAAGCAACAAACAAUUGCUCUCUCAACAUGUGAAGCAGAGUAUAUGGCCGCAGCAACUUGUACAUGCCAAGCAAUGUGGUUGAAGAAUAUUUUGGGAGAAAUAGGUGUUUCAAAUGAAGGUCCAAUUACCAUCUACGUUGACAACAAAUCCGCUAUAUCACUUGCCAAGAAUUCGGUGUCGCACAGCCGAAGCAAGCACAUCGAUACGAAGUAUCAUUUUAUCCGAGAGCAAGUGAAAAACAAAAACGUGGAGUUGGUCCAUUGCAGGACAGAAGAUCAACUGGCAGAUAUUUUCACAAAGCCGUUGAAAGUGGAGACAUUCAACAAAUUCAAAGAGAAGCUCGGUAUGAAAGUUGGGUUUGAGUGGGAGUGUUAGAAAUCAAACCCACUCCAAGCAUAAUCUAGAAGCAUGAGACGUGGAGCAAUUUUGUGCCAUGCAAAGUGCUGAAAUUUUAGCCAUACAAAGUGUUCCAUUAUUGAGAUGUUUUGUGGCUGGAAAUUAAGUGGAUUAAUAGCCACAUUUGUUGUCACUUUAUCAGCCUAUAAAUAGAGGCUUGAACUUGUGUUGUAAUGAAGUAAAAAUGAGAAGAAAAAAGAAAUAAGAGAAGCAACGUGAGUGAGAGUGAGAAGGUUAGCAAACCUUGAGUGAGUUAAAAUCUAGCAGCAGCUAGACUAUCUAGUCAUUGAGAAAAUAUUUGUAAUCUUCGUAUUGUAAUAUAUUGAGUGUGUAAUAAAAAGUAAAUUUUCGGCCCAUCACGUUUCCAAC
rnacentral:lncRNA from 1 species